rnacentral:rRNA from 1 species
UUGCUUGGUUCGGAUUCCUGGGCGUAAGCGCGUGCAGGUGGCGCGGUAAGUUGGGUGUGAAAUCUCCCGGCUCAACUGGGAGAGGUCAUUCAAUACUACCGUGCUUGAGAGCAGAAGAGGAAGAUGGAAUUCCCGGUGUAGUGGUGAAAUGCGUAGAUAUCGGGAGGAACACCAGUGGCGAAGGCGAUCUUCUGGUCUGUUUCUGACACUCAGACGCGACAGCUAGGGUAGUAAACGGGAUUAGAGACCCCGGUAAUCCUAGCCGUAAACGAUGUGAACUUGGCGUUGGUGGGUUAAACUCCAUCAGUGCCGUAGCAAACGCGAUAAGUUCACCGCCUGGGGACUACGGCCGCAAGGUUAAAACUCAAAGGAAUUGACGGGGGCCCGCACAAGCAGCGGAGCGUGUGGUUUAAUUCGAUGCUACACGAAGAACCUUACCCAGGCUUGACAUACAGGUGGUAGUGAUCCGAAAGGUGACCGACCCGCAAGGGAGCCUGAACAGGUGUUGCAUGGCUGCCGUCAGCUCGUGUCGUGAGAUGUUCGGUUAAGUCCGCUAACGAGCGCAACCCUCGCUGCGUGUUAUACGUGUCACGCAGGACCGCCGGUAUUAAGCCGGAGGAAGGUGGGGAUGACGUCAAGUCAGCAUGGCCUUUAUGCCUGGGGCUACACACACGCUACAAUGGCCAGUACAAUGGGUUGCUAAACCGCGAGGUGGAGCCAAUCCCCCAAAGCUGGCCUCAGUUCAGAUUGCAGGCUGCAACUCGCCUGCAUGAAGCCGGAGUUGCUAGUAAACGCGCGUCAGCUAUAGUGCGUUGAAUACGUUCUCGGGCCUUGUACACACCGCCCGUCACGUCAUGGGAGCUGGUAACACCUGAAGCCGGUAGCCUAACCGCAAGGAGGGCGCCGUCGAAAGUGGGGCUGGCGAUUGGGACGAAGUCGUAACAAGGUAACC